rnacentral:rRNA from 1 species
AUUGAACGCUGGCGGCAGGCCUAACACAUGCAAGUCGAACGAGUGGCAGACGGGUGUGUUAUGUCUGGGAAACUGCCUGAUGGAGGGGGAUAACUACUGGAACCGGUAGCUAAUCCCGCAUACCAGCAGAUGUGCCCAGAUGGGUGUGGCUUGUUGGUGGGGUAGCGGCUCACCAAGGCGACGAUCCCUAGCUGGUCUGAGAGGGUGACCAGCCAAACUGGAACUGAGACACGGGCCAGACUCCUACGGGAGGCAGCAGUGGGGAAUAUGGCACAAUGGGCGCAAGCCUGAUGCAGCCAUGCCGCGUGUAUGAAGAAGGCCUUCGGGUUGUAAAGUACUUUCAGCGGGGAGGCGUUACCCGCAGAAGAAGCACCGGCUAACUCCGUGCCAGCAGCCGCGGUAAUUC